rnacentral:rRNA from 1 species
UCCAGCGCCAUGGCAGGGGAGCCACACUGGUCCCAUUCCGAACCCAGAAUUAGCCCCCGAGCGCCGAUGGUACUGCGGAGGAGUCCGUGGGAGAGCAGGACGUCGCUGACC